GAUGAACGCUGGCGGCGUGCUUAACACAUGCAAGUCGAACGGAAAGGCCCAAGCUUGCUUGGGUACUCGAGUGGCGAACGGGUGAGUAACACGUGGGUGAUCUGCCCUGCACUUCGGGAUAAGCCUGGGAAACUGGGUCUAAUACCGGAUAGGACGAUGGUUUGGAUGCCAUUGUGGAAAGUUUUUUCGGUGUGGGAUGAGCUCGCGGCCUAUCAGCUUGUUGGUGGGGUAAUGGCCUACCAAGGCGUCGACGGGGAGCCGGCCUGAGAGAGUGUACGGCCACAUUGGAAUUGAGAUACGGCCCAGACUCGUACGGGAGGCAGCAGUGGGGAAUAUUGCACAAUGGGCGCAAGCCUGAUGCAGCGACGCCGCGUGGGGGAUGACGGCCUUCGGGCUGUAAACACCUUUCGCUAGGGACGAAGCGUUUUUGUGACGGUACCUGGAGAAGAAGCACCGGCUAACUACGUG
rnacentral:rRNA from 1 species